GCUUACGGCCAUACCACCCUGAAAACGCCCGAUCUCGUCCGAUCUCGGAAGCUAAGCAGGGUCAGGCCUGGUUAGUACUUGGAUGGGAGACCGCCUGGGAAUGGGAAAUGACCCCCCCAAGUC
rnacentral:rRNA from 1 species